rnacentral:tRNA from 1 species
GCGCCAUUAGCUCAAUAGGCAGAGCAGCUGACUCUUAAUCAGCGGGUUUGGGGUUCGAGUCCCCGAUGGCGCA